rnacentral:rRNA from 1 species
UACGUAGGGGGCAAGCGUUAUCCGGAUUUACUGGGUGUAAAGGGAGCGUAGACGGCAGAGCAAGUCCGGAGUGAAAGCCCGGGGCCCAACCCCGGGACUGCUCUGGAAACUGUUAAGCUGGAGUGCGGGAGGGGCAGGCGGAAUUCCUGGUGUAGCGGUGAAAUGCGUAGAUGUCAGGAGGAACACCGGCGGCGAAGGCGGCCUGCUGGACCGUGACUGACGUUGAGGCUCGAAAGCGUGGGGAGCAAACAGG